rnacentral:rRNA from 2 species
UAAUACGAAGGGGGCUAGCGUUGUUCGGAUUUACUGGGCGUAAAGCGCACGUAGGCGGUUUGUUAAGUCAGGGGUGAAAUCCCGGAGCUCAACUCCGGAACUGCCUUUGAUACUGGCAAGCUAGAGUCCGGAAGAGGUAAGUGGAACUCCUAGUGUAGAGGUGGAAUUCGUAGAUAUUAGGAAGAACACCAGUGGCGAAGGCGGCUUACUGGUCCGGAACUGACGCUGAGGUGCGAAAGCGUGGGGAGCAAACAGG